rnacentral:miRNA from 1 species
UGAGCGCCUCGACGACAGAGCCA